UACGUAGGAGGCAAGCGUUGUCCGGAAUUACUGGGCGUAAAGCGCGUGUAGGUGGUGGGCCAAGUCUGCUGUGAAAGCGCCUGGCUUAACCGGGCGAGGUCGGUGGAAACCCCUGGUCUAGAGGCCGGUAGAGGGGGGUGGAAUUCCGGGUGUAGUGGUGAAAUGCGUAGAGAUCCGGAGGAACACCCGUGGCGAAGGCGGCCCCCUGGGCCGCGCCUGACGCUGAGACGCGAAAGCGCGGGGAGCGAACGGG
rnacentral:rRNA from 1 species